ACUGUGGUACGCUUUCGGUGGAGGAACUAAACUGGUGGUCUCUGGUCCCACAGUGAAGCCCUCAGUGUCUCUGCUGCCGCCCUCUUCUCUGCAGAUCUCUGGAGACUCAGCCGCACUGCUCUGCCUGCUCAGCUCUUACUCUCCACAGGGGGCGCUGGUGAGCUGGACACUGGACGGGUCAGAGGUCACCGAGGGGGUCGUGACCAGCGCAGAGAGCCAGCGGGACGGCCGCUACAGCCGCAGUAGCGUCCUGACCCUCAGCAAAGCACGCUGGGAAAAGGGAGAGGUGUACGUCUGCAGAGUAACACAUGAUGGAGCUCCUCAUGAGGUCUCGUUCCACAAGAGCUCUGAGUGCUGAUGUUUCUCUCCUGAAGAUGAGCCGUAUCUGAGUGUCCUGUGUCAGGCAGGAUUCACAUGAGUCUAGUGAUGCAGCUGUAGUGAUUUACAACUCAAUACUGAAAGAGAGCUGGCGUGUCAAAGCACUGUGUGAUCUUUCAAUCUGCUGUAACAUUCAAUAAAGCUUCUCAACAAGUUCA